UACGAAGGGGGCUAGCGUUGCUCGGAAUCACUGGGCGUAAAGGGUGCGUAGGCGGGUCUUUAAGUCAGGGGUGAAAUCCUGGAGCUCAACUCCAGAACUGCCUUUGAUACUGAAGAUCUUGAGUUCGGGAGAGGUGAGUGGAACUGCGAGUGUAGAGGUGAAAUUCGUAGAUAUUCGCAAGAACACCAGUGGCGAAGGCGGCUCACUGGCCCGAUACUGACGCUGAGGCAUGAAAGCGUGGGGAGCAAACGGG
rnacentral:rRNA from 1 species